rnacentral:rRNA from 1 species
UACGUAGGCAGCAAGCGUUGUUCGGAAUUACUGGGCGUAAAGAGUGUGUAGGCGGUGCUCUAAGUUUGGUGUGAAAUCUCCCGGCUCAGCUGGGAGGGUGCGCCGAAAACUGGAAUGCUUGAACGUGGGAGAGGAAAGCGGAAUUCCUGGUGUAGCGGUGAAAUGCGUAGAUAUCAGGAGGAACACCUGCGGUGUAGACGGCUUUCUGGACCAUUGUUGACGCUGAGACACGAAAGCGUGGGUAGCAAACAGG